CACGUAGGGGGCAAGCGUUGUCCGGAUUCAUUGGACGUAAAGAGCUCGUAGGCGGUUCGAUAAGUCGGGUGUGAAACCUCCAGGCUCAACCUGGAGACGCCACCCGAUACUGUCGUGACUAGAGUCCAGUAGGGGAGCGUGGAAUUCCUGGUGUAGCGGUGAAAUGCGCAGAUAUCAGGAGGAACACCAGCGGCGAAGGCGGCGCUCUGGGCUGGCACUGACGCUGAGGAGCGAAAGCGUGGGGAGCGAACAGG
rnacentral:rRNA from 1 species